UUUACACGGUGUGUGUGCAAAAUCAGUAAUUACUAUACCAAAUUCGCAGUUUAUUUUUUCACGGAAAUUCAUUCACAAUAUUACUUACUAUCGUUGGGCGUUAUAUUAUUAUGACUGUUAACCGGUGAACACGUGUAUUUCCAUGAUGUGCAAUAAUAAUAACGACUCCAUAUUGUAGCAAUGCACAUAAAGUUCGGAGAACAAUAAUUAAUAUAACAGCCAUGUAAGAAGAAAAUGACGCCAGCAUGCGGAAAAUCUACAUCAUAUAUACGUCUUCUAUUCUCGAUGUGCGGUCCAAUUCCAAUGGGUAAUAACAAUAGUUAAUAUGAUAAAUUAUUGCGAUAAUUAAUAUAUGUG